rnacentral:rRNA from 1 species
GACUUUUACUUUAGUUUAGAGUUUAGGCAUUAUUUUUUUCCUUUGCUUCCGAAAAAGAAUAAAAAGAUACUAAUGGCAACCCUUCGAGCCGACGAAAUUAGUAAUAUUAUCCGUGAACGUAUUGAACAAUAUAAUAGAGAAGUAAAGAUUGUAAAUACCGGUACCGUACUUCAAGUAGGCGAUGGCAUUGCUCGUGUUCAUGGUCUUGAUGAAGUAAUGGCAGGUGAAUUAGUAGAAUUUGAAGAAGGUACAAUAGGUAUUGCUCUUAAUUUGGAAUCAAAUAAUGUUGGUGUUGUAUUAAUGGGCGAUGGUUUGAUGAUACAAGAGGGAAGUUCUGUAAAAGCAACAGGAAGAAUUGCUCAGAUACCUGUGAGUGAGGCUUAUUUAGGUCGUGUUAUAAAUGCUCUGGCUAAACCUAUUGAUGGGAGAGGUGAAAUUUCAGCUUCUGAAUCUCGGUUAAUUGAAUCUCCUGCCCCAGGUAUUAUUUCGAGACGUUCCGUAUAUGAGCCUCUUCAAACAGGGCUUAUUGCCAUUGAUGCGAUGAUCCCUAUAGGACGUGGUCAGCGAGAAUUAAUUAUUGGGGACAGACAGACCGGCAAAACAGCAGUAGCCACAGAUACGAUUCUCAAUCAAAAAGGGAAAAAUGUAAUAUGUGUUUAUGUAGCGAUUGGUCAAAAAGCAUCUUCUGUGGCUCAAGUAGUGACUACUUUCCAGGAACAGGGGGCAAUGGAAUACACUAUUGUGGUAGCCGAAACGGCAGAUUCACCUGCUACAUUACAAUACCUCGCUCCUUAUACAGGAGCUGCUCUGGCUGAAUAUUUUAUGUACCGUAAACGACAUACUUCAAUAAUUUAUGAUGAUCUCUCCAAACAGGCACAAGCUUAUCGCCAAAUGUCUCUUCUAUUAAGAAGACCCCCUGGUCGUGAGGCUUAUCCAGGAGAUGUUUUUUAUUUGCAUUCACGACUUUUGGAAAGAGCUGCUAAAUUAAGUUCUUAUUUAGGUGAAGGAAGUAUGACUGCUUUACCAAUAGUUGAGACUCAAUCUGGAGACGUUUCAGCUUAUAUUCCUACUAAUGUAAUUUCCAUUACGGAUGGACAAAUAUUUUUAUCCGCCGAUCUAUU